UGAUUGUGUUUGAUGGUGUGAGGUGGCGUAUGAUUGUGUUUGACGGUGUGUGGUGGUGUUUGAUGGUAUGAGGUGGUGUAUGAUUGUGUUUGAUGGUAUGAGGUGGCGUAUGAUUGUGUUUGAUGGUAUGAGGUGGCGUGUGAUUGUGUUUGAUGGUAUGAGGUGGCGUAUGAUUGUGUUUGACGGUAUGAGGUGGCGUAUGAUUGUGUUUGACGGUAUGAGGUGGCGUAUGAUUGUGUUUGAUGGUAUGAGGUGGCGUAUGAUUGUGUUUGAUGGUAUGAGGUGGAGUAUGAUUGUGUUUGACGGUAUGAGGUGGCGUAUGAUUGUGUUUGAUUGUGUGAGGUGGCUUAUGAUUGUGUUUGAUGGUGUGUGGUGGUGUUUUACGGUAUGAG
ensembl:lncRNA